CCGGAGACUACAAAGAUGGAGGUUUCUGACUUUCAAGAGGAUACCACCCCUAUGGAAGAUUAGAAUCUUAGACAUAAACAAUUUUAGUUAGUUAAAAUUGCACAAUGGGGCCAAAUUCCACCUAGUGGCCGAACCCCCUUUGUUUUUUGGUUGAUUUUUGAACAAUUUUCCUUUAUGUUUGGAUUAUUUGUUGGUGAUUUGUUUUUGGAUAUUAAGUUUUAAUUAAUUACCAUCUUUGAAUAAAUGAAAAUAUUUUGAAUUGAUAUUUGUUUUUAGAACUUUUAUGCAUGUGACCGAUUCAAAUUA
rnacentral:lncRNA from 1 species